rnacentral:rRNA from 1 species
GACAGAGGGUGCAAACGUUGUUCGGAAUUACUGGGCGUAAAGCGUGUGUAGGCGGUCUCAUAAGUCGGGUGUGAAAGCCCCAGGCUCAACUUGGGAAGUGCUUUCGAAACUGGCGGACUUGAAUACUGGAGAGGAUCGCGGAAUUCCCGGUGUAGAGGUGAAAUUCGUAGAUAUCGGGAGGAACACCAGCGGCGAAGGCGGCGAUCUGGACAGAUAUUGACGCUGAGGUGCGAAAGCGUGGGGAGCAAACAGG